rnacentral:rRNA from 1 species
CCUACGGGUGGCAGCAGUGAGGAAUAUUGGUCAAUGGGCGGGAGCCUGAACCAGCCAAGUCGCGUGAGGGAAUACGGUCCUAUGGAUUGUAAACCUCUUUUACCGGGGGACAAAAGGCCGGACUCGUCCGGUCCUGAGAGUACCCGGAGAAAAAGCAUCGGCAAACUCCGUUCCACCAGCCGCGGUAAUAAGGAGGAUGCGAGCGUUAUCGGGAUUCAUUGGGUGAAUGGGUUGGGCAGGGGGGCCGUUAGGCCGGCGGUGAAAGCGCGGGGCCCAACCCCGCCUGGCCGUCGUAACUGGGGGACUUGAGUGAGGGGGAGGGAUGCGGAAUGCGCGGUGUAGCGGUGAAAUGCGUAGAUAUCGAGCAGAACACAGAUUGCGAAGGCAGCGUGCCGUGCAGCCACUGACGCUGAGGCACGAAAGCGAGGGGAGCGAAAAGGAUUAGAUACCCCUGUAGUC